rnacentral:rRNA from 1 species
AGUGAACGCUGGCGGUAGGCCUAACACAUGCAAGUCGAACGGCAGCACAGUAAGAGCUUGCUCUUACGGGUGGCGAGUGGCGGACGGGUGAGGAAUACAUCGGAAUCUACUUUUUCGUGGGGGAUAACGUAGGGAAACUUACGCUAAUACCGCAUACGACCUACGGGUGAAAGCAGGGGAUCUUCGGACCUUGCGCGAUUGAAUGAGCCGAUGUCGGAUUAGCUAGUUGGCGGGGUAAAGGCCCACCAAGGCGACGAUCCGUAGCUGGUCUGAGAGGAUGAUCAGCCACACUGGAACUGAGACACGGUCCAGACUCCUACGGGAGGCAGCAGUGGGGAAUAUUGGACAAUGGGCGUAAGCCUGAUCCAGCCAUACCGCGUGGGUGAAGAAGGCCUUCGGGUUGUAAAGCCCUUUUGUUGGGAAAGAAAAGCAGCAGGUUAAUACCCAGCUGUUCUGACGGUACCCAAAGAAUAAGCACCGGCUAACUUCGUG